CGCAGCGACGCCGCGUGGGCGACGAAGGCCUUCGGGUUGUAAAGCCCUGUGGGGCGGGACGAACCGUUUUGGCGUGAAUAACGCCGAGACCUGACGGUACCGCCUUAGCAAGCACCGGCUAACUCUGUGCCAGCAGCCGCGGUAAGACAGAGGGUGCGAACGUUGCUCGGAAUUACUGGGCGUAAAGCGCGUGUAGGCGGCUUCGCAAGUUCGGUGUGAAAGCCCGGGGCUCAACCCCGGAAGGGCGCUGAAUACUACGGAGCUGGAGUGCUGACGAGGAGAGCGGAAUUCCCGGUGUAGAGGUGAAAUUCGUAGAUAUCGGGAGGAACACCAGUGGCGAAGGCGGCUCUCUGGGCAGACACUGACGCUGAGACGCGAAAGCGUGGGUAGCAAACAGGAUUAGAUACCCUGGUAGUCCACGCUGUAAACGAUGCGCACUGGGUGUCGCGGGUAUUGACCCCCGCGGUGCCGAAGCCAACGCGUUAAGUGCGCCGCCUGGGAAGUACGGCCGCAAGGCUA
rnacentral:rRNA from 1 species